rnacentral:rRNA from 1 species
GAUGAACGCUGGCGGCGUGCCUAAUACAUGCAAGUCGAGCGAACGGACGAGAAGCUUGCUUCUCUGAUGUUAGCGGCGGACGGGUGAGUAACACGUGGAUAACCUACCUAUAAGACUGGGAUAACUUCGGGAAACCGGAGCUAAUACCGGAUAAUAUUUUGAACCGCAUGGUUCAAAAGUGAAAGACGGUCUUGCUGUCACUUAUAGAUGGAUCCGCGCUGCAUUAGCUAGUUGGUAAGGUAACGGCUUACCAAGGCAACGAUGCAUAGCCGACCUGAGAGGGUGAUCGGCCACACUGGAACGGAGACACGGUCCAGACUCCUACGGGAGGCAGCAGUAGGGAAUCUUCCGCAAUGGGCGAAAGCCUGACGGAGCAACGCCGCGUGAGCGAUGAAGGUCUUCGGAUCGUAAAACUCUGUUAUUAGGGAAGAACAUAUGUGUAAGUAACUGUGCACAUCUUGACGGUACCUAAUCAGAAAGCCACGGCUAACUACGUG